rnacentral:rRNA from 1 species
GUGGGGAAUCUUGCGCAAUGGGCGAAAGCCUGACGCAGCAACGCCGCGUGGAGGAUGAAGGCCUUCGGGUCGUAAACUCCUGUCAAGAGGGACGAAGCGAAAGUGACGGUACCUCUAGAGGAAGCCCCGGCUAACUACGUGCCAGCAGCCGCGGUAAUACGUAGGGGGCGAGCGUUGUCCGGAUUCAUUGGGCGUAAAGAGCGCGUAGGCGGCUUGUCAAGUCGGGUGUGAAAACCUGGGGCUUAACCCGAGGACUGCACUCGAAACUGGCAGGCUUGAGUUUGGUAGAGGGAUGUGGAAUUCCUAGUGUAGCGGUGAAAUGCGCAGAUAUUAGGAAGAACACCAGUGGCGAAGGCGGCAUCCUGGGCCAUAACUGACGCUGAGGCGCGAAAGCUAGGGGAGCGAACAGGAUUAGAAACCCGUGUAGUCC